UACGUAGGGACCGAGCGUUGUCCGGAAUCAUUGGGCGUAAAGAGCGUGUAGGCGGCCACUUAAGUCCUGCGUGAAAUCUUGCGGCUCAACCGCAAGCGGUCGUGGGAAACUGGGUGGCUAGAGUGCGGGAGAGGAGAGUGGAAUUCCUGGUGUAGCGGUGGAAUGCGCAGAUAUCAGGAAGAACACCCGUGGCGAAGGCGGCUCUCUGGAACGCAACUGACGCUGAGACGCGAAAGCGUGGGGAGUGAACAGG
rnacentral:rRNA from 1 species